rnacentral:rRNA from 1 species
UACGACGGUCCCAAGCGUUGUUCGGAAUCACUGGGCGUAAAGGGAGCGUAGGCGGCGUGGUAAGUCAGAUGUGAAAUCCCGGGGCUCAACCCCGGAACUGCAUCCGAUACUGCCAUGCUAGAGGAUUGGAGAGGUAGCUGGAAUUCUUGGUGUAGCAGUGAAAUGCGUAGAGAUCAAGAGGAACACUCGUGGCGAAAGCGAGCUACUGGACAAUUCCUGACGCUGAGGCUCGAAGGCUAGGGUAGCGAAAGGG